AGCAGCCGCGGUAAUUCCAGCUCCAAUAGCGUAUAUUUAAGUUGUUGCAGUUAAAAAGCUCGUAGUUGAAUUUCGGGAUCAAUACGUCGGUCGUGCUUCGGUACGUACUGGCGUAAUUGAUUUCUCCCUUCUGACGAACCAUGAUGUCAUUAACUUGGUGUCAUGGGAAAUCAGGACUGUUACUUUGAAAAAAUUAGAGUGUUUAAAGCAGGCUCACGCUUGAAUACAUUAGCAUGGAAUAAUGAAAUAGGACGUUCGGUCCUAUUUUGUUGGUUUUUAGGAUCAACGUAAUGAUUAAUAGGGAUAGUUGGGGGCAUUAGUAUUCAAUUGUCAGAGGUGAAAUUCUUGGAUUUAUUGAAGACUAACUACUGCGAAAGCAUUUGCCAAGGAUGUUUUCAUUAAUCAAGAACGAAAGUUAGGGGAUCGAAGACGAUCAGAUACCGUCGUAGUCUUAACCAUAAACUAUGCCGACUAGGGAUCGGAUGAUGUUAAUUUUUUUAAUGACUCAUUCGGCGCCUUA
rnacentral:misc_RNA from 1 species